rnacentral:rRNA from 1 species
UACGGGAGGCAGCAGUGGGGAAUAUUGCACAAUGGGCGAAAGCCUGAUGCAGCUAUGCCGCGUGUAUGAAGAAGGCCUUAGGGUUGUAAAGUACUUUCAUCGGGGAGGAAAAAACAAAACUAAUAAUUUUAUUUCUUGACGUUACCCGAAAAAGAAGCACCGGCUAACUCCGUGCCAGCAGCCGCGGUAAUACGGAGGGUGCUAGCGUUAAUCAGAAUUACUGGGCGUAAAGAGCACGUAGGUGGUUUUUUUAAGUCAGAUGUGAAAUCCCUGGGCUUAACCUAGGAACUGCAUUUUGAAACUGAAAUACUAGAGUAUCGUAGAGGGAGGUAGAAUUCUAGGUGUAGCGGUGAAAUGCGUAGAUAUCUGGAGGAAUACCUGUGGCGAAAGCGGCCUCCUAAACGAAUACUGACACUGAGGUGCGAAAGCGUGGGGAGCAAACAGGGAUUACAUACC